AGUCUUAAGGAAGCAAACAUAAACUUUAUGCACACGCGUGAGUCUUUCUCAUUAGACUACAGAAAACCACACUAAAGCUCCAAGCCGUCUCUACCCGGAGUCCUGGGAGCAGCCGCCAGACCAUGACGCCCAACAACUACCUUCGGCAACGGCUGAAAUGCUCCCAUGCCCCUGGUAAGGAAGGAAGGAGUCUAGUGGGAAAGGGAUCCCGUCGAAAGAAUGCUGAACUUCCCCAAGAGGUAGCGGAAUAAAGUGGUCUGGACACAGCUCCUCAGCAAACCGCGACUCUCGCUUCGGAAAGCAUCCAGAACCUGCUCAGUUCCCACUGCUCUCCCGCGAGCUCACUCCAGCAGCCCCUCGCCACGUGCUAGGAUUCUCACCAAAGAAGCCACAACAUCCUGUCACUCCACUGCUCCAAGCCGUCGGGGGAAAGCCCAAGUCCCCGAAGAUGGCCUCCUACCCCAAACGCACUCUGCGCCUCCCAGCCCUGUCACCGGCUGUGGCUCUGCUGGCUGCCCGCUUCGUAGCCAGGGUCUCCCUCCUCGGGGUUUGCUGUUCCCUGCACCUGGCAUCCUCACGCAAGCACUCAGGCAAGUCCUUCCCUGACCGGCGCACUCAAAACCUCCACUCUCUCCAGCCCCGAUCUGCUUUCCCGAUUCAUUUUUCUGCACAGCAUUUCUCACCAUCUAACACACUUUGUCUGCUGUCUGUGUCUCCAACUAAAACAUAAGCUAUGUGAA